UACGGAGGGGGCUAGCGUUGUUCGGAAUUACUGGGCGUAAAGCGCACGUAGGCGGCUUUGCAAGUCAGAGGUGAAAAGCCCGGGGCUCAACCCCGGAAUUGCCUUUGAGACUGCAUCGCUAGAAUUGUGGAGAGGUAAGUGGAAUUCCGAGUGUAGAGGUGAAAUUCGUAGAUAUUCGGAAGAAACACCAGUGGCGAAGGCGACUUACUGGACACAUAUUGACGCUGAGGGUGCGAAAAGCGUGGGGAGCAAACAGG
rnacentral:rRNA from 1 species